CUGGGCACCCAGACGUUGCAGGGGAAACGUGUGAUGGAGAAAAGCCAGCGUCUAUCCCCCCAAGAAUCCUGUGAUCAGACCGUCUGGCAACCUAGUGCACCUCUGGGUUGUGUGUCUGUCUCCGAGGUCUCGCUCUUCGCGGACGCGCCCCGAUUUUCGAGCCCUCCGUGCCAGCGCACAGGCGGGCUGCCGCGUGGGUCUCAAGGUGAAGGCCUGGAGGGCAGAGGGGUGGCGGUGACCCCGUUGCUCCAGCUCUCGGGGCCUGUGACUGCCCCAGCCACGUGCGGCGCGGGCGACGCCGCGGUUCGCGCGGUUCCAAGAGUGCGACCGCCCGGAGCCCAGCGCCUCUCAACCUUGCCCGGGCUCGGAACGUCGCGGGGCGUGUUCUCCGACACAGAGAAUUCGUGUGAGCCGACUGGCCUCGCCCUGACCUGCCCCUCUUAGGACAACACGGAAAACCGCUGGUGCAGGGUUUGCGAGUAGCUGGUUGCGUCCGCCGGGACCCGACAGACCGGCAGGUACGAGGGGCAGGUGGGGAGGCACCGGAGCCUCAGCGCAGCCCCGCCCGGCACCACCUGCCCGCUUUCAACGAAACACGUCGCCCAGGCCCAGAGAACUCCGGGACUGUCUGGGGAACGCGCCAGGCCCAUGUCGGCUGGGGCGCUCGGAGCUGGGAGAGGGCGGAGAGCCUCCAUCCAGGCCGGAGCAUCCCAGAGCCCGAGGUGCGGAGCAGCAUGGAGCGCCCGAGGCGGGCGGCGCCAGGGCCAGAGUCUACCCAGGGGAUUUCUGCCGCCUUUAUAGGCUGGAAAAAUAAAGAUCAAAAACAAACCGAA
rnacentral:lncRNA from 1 species